rnacentral:rRNA from 1 species
AUUGAACGCUGGCGGCAGGCCUAACACAUGCAAGUCGAGCGGAUGAAGGGAGCUUGCUCCUGGAUUCAGCGGCGGACGGGUGAGUAAUGCCUAGGAAUCUGCCUGGUAGUGGGGGAUAACGUCCGGAAACGGGCGCUAAUACCGCAUACGUCCUGAGGGAGAAAGUGGGGGAUCUUCGGGCCUCACGCUACCAGAUGAGCCUAGGUCGGAUUAGCUAGUUGGUGGGGUAAAGGCCUACCAAGGCGACGAUCCGUAACUGGUCUGAGAGGAUGAUCAGUCACACUGGAACUGAGACACGGUCCAGACUCCUACGGGAGGCAGCAGUGGGGAAUAUUGGACAAUGGGCGAAAGCCUGAUCCAGCCAUGCCGCGUGUGUGAAGAAGGUCUUCGGAUUGUAAAGCACUUUAAGUUGGGAGGAAGGGCAGUAAGUUAAUACCUUGCUGUUUUGACGUUACCAACAGAAUAAGCACCGGCUAACUUCGUG